GACGUAGGGCGCGAGCGUUGUCCGGAUUUAUUGGGCGUAAAGAGCUCGUAGGCGGCUUGUCGCGUCGUUCGUGAAAACUCACAGCUCAACUGUGAGCUUGCGGUCGAUACGGGCAGGCUAGAGUUCGGUAGGGGAGACUGGAGCUCCUGGUGUAGCGGUGAAAUGCGCAGAUAUCAGGAGGAACACCGGUGGCGAAGGCGGGUCUCUGGGCCGAUACUGACGCUGAGGAGCGAAAGCGUGGGGAGCGAACAGG
rnacentral:rRNA from 1 species